rnacentral:rRNA from 1 species
ACAUGCAAGUCGAGCGAAUGNGAUUAAGAGCUUGCUCUUAUGAAGUUAGCGGCGGACGGCGUGAGUAACACGUGGGUAACCUGCCCAUAAGACUGGGAUAACUCCGGGAAACCGGGGCUAAUACCGGAUAACAUUUUGAACUGCAUGGUUCGAAAUUGAAAGGCGGCUUCGGCUGUCACUUAUGGAUGGACCCGCGUCGCAUUAGCUAGUUGGUGAGGUAACGGCUCACCAAGGCAACGAUGCGUAGCCGACCUGAGAGGGUGAUCGGCCACACUGGGACUGAGACACGGCCCAGACUCCUACGGGAGGCAGCAGUAGGGAAUCUUCCGCAAUGGACGAAAGUCUGACGGAGCAACGCCGCGUGAGUGAUGAAGGCUUUCGGGUCGUAAAACUCUGUUGUUAGGGAAGAACAAGUGCUAGUUGAAUAAGCUGGCACCUUGACGGUACCUAACCAGAAAGCCACGGCUAACUACGUGCCAGCAGCCGCGGUAAUACGUAGGUGGCAAGCGUUAUCCGGAAUUAUUGGGCGUAAAGCGCGCGCAGGUGGUUUCUUAAGUCUGAUGUGAAAGCCCACGGCUCAACCGUGGAGGGUCAUUGGAAACUGGGAGACUUGAGUGCAGAAGAGGAAAGUGGAAUUCCAUGUGUAGCGGUGAAAUGCGUAGAGAUAUGGAGGAACACCAGUGGCGAAGGCGACUUUCUGGUCUGUAACUGACACUGAGGCGCGAAAGCGUGGGGAGCAAACAGGAUUA